GCGGCUGCUUAACAUGCAGUCGAACGGCAGCACGGAGCUUGCUCUGGUGGCGAGUGGCGAACGGGUGAGUAAUAUAUCGGAACGUACCCUAGAGUGGGGGAUAACGUAGCGAAAGUUACGCUAAUACCGCAUACGAUCUAAGGAUGAAAGUGGGGGAUCGCAAGACCUCAUGCUCGUGGAGCGGCCGAUAUCUGAUUAGCUAGUUGGUAGGGUAAAAGCCUACCAAGGCAUCGAUCAGUAGCUGGUCUGAGAGGACGACCAGCCACACUGGAACUGAGACACGGUCCAGACUCCUACGGGAGGCAGCAGUGGGGAAUUUUGGACAAUGGGCGAAAGCCUGAUCCAGCAAUGCCGCGUGAGUGAAGAAGGCCUUCGGGUUGUAAAGCUCUUUUGUCAGGGAAGAAACGGUGAAAGCUAAUAUCCUUUGCUAAUGACGGUACCUGAAGAAUAAGCACCGGCUAACUACGUGCCAGCAGCCGCGGUAAUACGUAGGGUGCAAGCGUUAAUCGGAAUUACUGGGCGUAAAGCGUGCGCAGGCGGUUUUGUAAGUCUGAUGUGAAAUCCCCGGGCUCAACCUGGGAAUUGCAUUGGAGACUGCAAGGCUAGAAUCUGGCAGAGGGGGGUAGAAUUCCACGUGUAGCAGUGAAAUGCGUAGAUAUGUGGAGGAACACCGAUGGCGAAGGCAGCCCCCUGGGUCAAGAUUGACGCUCAUGCACGAAAGCGUGGGGAGCAAACAGGAUUAGAUACCCUGGUAGUCCACGCCCUAAACGAUGUCUACUAGUUGUCGGGUCUUAAUUGACUUGGUAACGCAGCUAACGCGUGAAGUAGACCGCCUGGGGAGUACGGUCGCAAGAUUAAAACUCAG
rnacentral:rRNA from 1 species